GCGCAGGUAGUCCCGUAGGGCGCGGGGGCAGACUGUAAAUCUGUUGGCCAUUGGCCCCGGUGAGUUCGACUCUCACUCUGCGCA
rnacentral:tRNA from 1 species